UGCUUUUCCAGACGCUUUAUAUUGUAUUGU
rnacentral:piRNA from 1 species